CGACGCCACACUGUCUGUCACUGUGGCUUUAUGACAAGUCCUGCGUGGUGGAGCCAGCUGUACUAUCAUUCUUCACUGCUUGCACUCUGGCAUGAAUUGUGGACUCGGCUUGUCAAGUUCCACAAAGAUCAGCUCAGUAGACUCCUGGAGGGGAGCUGGCAUCUUGGCUACCCUGAGUCCUCGAGCUGGUUGAUAGGAACGUUCCUCCAACUGUGGUGGUCGUCUUUAAAGCUUCUCAGGAAAGUUUCAUGAAGAGGCUGAGUGAGCUGGCUCUGACCCACCAGAUGUACCGGGCCCUGAGCUGGACCCUGGUGUCCAGAAGUGGACACAGCCCCUGUGGGGCUCCAGCCUGUGGGGUUGGGGGGUGAUGAGGGACUCCUUCAAGAACGGAUGCAGUGCCUGGCAGGGCUGCAGGCUGCUGCCCACAGAGGGGCCUUUGCAGCUGUCCCUGAUGAAGUUGCCUGGGCACACCAGAGUGUGGGAGAGUGGACGGCGCGGCCCCUCCUGCACUUGGAGCUGCUCUCAGAUCUUGGGCUGUGACCCCUGUGGGUGACACGAAGUUCAGUGAUUGUCCUCCUUCUGGACUGAGGGACAUCCAUCCACACGCGCCCCCUCCACAGCCCGAUCCCAUCACGUCCUGCUCGUCCAACAUGGGCCUUAGAUCCUGGGGUCUCUGCUGAGUGCCUCCCCUCUGAACGCCCGGCUGGCACUUUCACGGUGAAGCCAGCUGUCAUGGACACCGACGGCAGGUGGCCUUUCUGCGUUGUCUACCGGCUGAUCUUGAAAGUGAAAACGGACAUUGUCUGCCCUGUGGUGACCGUGUUGGGUGAUGGUCCUGGGGUCAGGCCCUGCAUGCACCUUCACCCAGGGAUGGCUUCUUAGCUGACAGCGGCUCUGCCAGGAACCACGAUCACCCUCCAGUUUGCUCUUUGUGCUGAAUUUUAUUGACAUGAAAUUCGCAUGACGCCAACUUUAUCGUUUUAAAGUGAAUGGUUAAACAGAAUGCGGCACUUUCACAGGGCGGCAUGACCCCCACCUCUGUCUGCCUUCAGAACAUUUUCAUCCCCCACGAAAGGAGGAAGCGCAGUCCCCAGGAACAGUUACUCCUCAUUUCCCCUCCCCAGCUCUGGCUUCCGCAACCACGAAUCUGCUUUCUGUCUCCGUGAAUUUGCCUCUUUCGGAUAUAUUUCACGUAAAUGGAGUCCCGUGAUAGAUGAGCUGUGUCUGCCUCUUGCGGGCAGCACAGUGUCUGGAAGGUUCUCCGUGCAGCCGCAGGGGUUGGCGCUUCCUUCCUCCCGAGGCUGACCCGGCCCCGUCGUACGGGGAGUCCACUGUGUGUCUGUCUUUUGGCUGCUGUGAGCCUGGGUGUGCCGCCUGCUCCAGCCCAUGUUUUCAGCUCUUUCAGGUGUGGAGGGAGGAGUGGAAUUGUGGGAUCAUAUUGUAACUUUAACUUUGGAAGGAUCUGCCAAAUUACCCCUCUAAUUUGUUUUCAAUUUUAUUCUUAUUUCCCUGUCACUUGUUCUUUCUUUUGACUGGUUAAAAAAAAUGGCAAAGGUCUUCAGCAAAACAAGAAGUGAGUUUCAAUUGAACCGUGAAUUAAAUAUGAUACACUCAAAAUCUGACCAAUAAUACAUUUUAAUUUUCCCCACACAUUUACGUCCACGUUAAUUUCAUGGAAAUCAAGAUGCUUUUGCCUCUGUUCUAAAGUAUUUAUUUUUUUUAAGACAGGUUCUUACUCUGUUGCCCAGGCUGGAGUGCAAUGGCGCGAUCUCAGCUCACUGCAGUCUUGACCUCCCAGGCUCAAGCAAUCCUCCUGCCUCAGCCUCCUGAGUAGCUGGGACCACAGGUGUGCAUCACCAUGCCUGGCUAAUUUGUUACAUUUUUAGUAGAGACGGGGUUUCACCAUGUUGGCCAGGCUGGUCUGGAACUCCUGACCUGAAGCGAUCCUCCCACCUCAGCCUCCCACAGUGCUGGGAUUACAGGCGUGAGCCACCACGUGCAGCCUGAAAGUAUUUUUUUUUAGAGUUUCCUAAAAGUUUCAUCAUCCCUUUUGUUUUCCUAACAAGCUGUGAAACCCAGUGGGUUUUAAUUGUGAAUCAGCACCAAAACACAUGCAGAUUUAAUUUUUAAUUGAAAUGAUGGACAAUAAACAGAAUUAAUAACUCAAAUGCUUGAAGUCUGUCAAGCAUGGUGCUUUGUCUUUGCCAUGGACAUGAAAAAGCAGCAUUCCCCUCCGGACUUGAGGCUGGGGACCUUCUGAGUCAGAGCAGCCCCUCCCUCCCCACCUCCACGGCUGUUUCCACUUUGCCAUCUCCCCAGCGGGCUCUGCCCGUCCACCUGUGAGACACUCUGACUCCACGGCUUGGCUUCUGCUUGCCCCAGGCAGUGGGAUUCGGUGGCCAGGCCCUCAUUUGUUUCCCCCUCCUCCUUUCCCCAGCAGCUCCUGGCCUGGCAUGCAGCAGGUGCUCUGCUGGGCGAGUGGGAGGAGGGAGCAUAGCCACCGCUGCAGGUGGUCUGUUUGGUGCUGGGAGACGUCAUGCGUGUGUUGUCAGGCACUGGAACCCCCUGGGAGGGUGCAGGGCAGGUUUAGGACAGCCACGUGUGCCCAGAUCUAUGAGACCUUUGUGGGCUCGACUGAGUUGGGGGCUGGGCACAGAGCUUGGAGACCUCUUACUGGGAGCUGUGUGAGUGGCAGGGCCAAGGCUGUGGGGGCUGCAGGAGCUGGUGAGGAGGCAUGUGCUCGGCCGUCAUGGGACUGUCCCUGGGACUCCUGCAGCUGGGGUAGGCUCCAGGCAGGGCUCUGAGCUGCCCCCACACACCUCCAUGCAACCCCAGCUCCAUGUGCUGCUGGAAAGUCCCUGAGUACCAGGGGGGCACCUGGGGAGGGGCCUGAGUCCUGCAGACAGACCUGGGAUGGGGGUGUCAUCCACAGGUGAGGAGUGGUCCGUGCCAGGGACAGGCAGAGCCGCCAGCAUGGGCCCUGCUGGGAUCUCCGAUUGGGAAAACCAUCCCGCCACGGGAGGUGGCCAAGGUGCGUCCCCCAGCCUAUGCAUUGGGGUCCUGGUUCCAUCCCCGCCUCUCCUGUGGGCCGCACUCAGUGCCUUUUCCAUGUAACCCGUGCCGUGUGCGGUGCUCAGAGGAGGAGCGAUCGUCAUGGGGAGCUGCAGUGCCUUUUCCAUGUAACCCGCGCCGUGUGCGGGGCUCCGAGGAGGAGAGGACGUCACGGGGAGCUGCGGUGCCUUUUCCAUGUAACCCGCGCCGUGUGCGGGGCUCGGAGGAGGAGCGGUCAUCACGGGGAGCUGCAGCGCGUCUGGUGAUGUGGGGCUCACAGGCUCCUAAUGAGGCUCUCAGUCUUGUUUAUUGCGUUCUUGCUGGAAGAUUUUUUUUCUGAAACGUAGGCACAGAAUGAACUUGAAAUAUUGAGCUCUGCUUGAAAUAAAAAUGUCUUGAUAAUUAGAACCUUUGCCUGAACAGAUUCCUGUGGGGCUGCGCUGUGCAGGCUGGUUACGGGUGGGGCUCUGCUGCCCACCGAGUCAUUGCUCAAAGGCAAACGGGUCAAGCCACCGAG
rnacentral:lncRNA from 10 species